UGUUUGGGUGUGCAUGUCCUCAGAAUGCAAAAAGCGGAGAAGGCAAAGCAACAAGCAAAAGGCGUAAUCAAUGCAAUUGCGGCCGAUGAUGUAUUUGUUGAGGACG
rnacentral:sRNA from 10 species